GACGAACGCUGGCGGCGUGCUUAACACAUGCAAGUCGAACGGAAAGGCCCUGCUUGCAGGGUCCUCGAGUGGCGAACGGGUGAGUAACACGUGGGUGAUCUGCCCUGCACUUCGGGAUAAGCCUGGGAAACUGGGUCUAAUACCGGAUAGGAGCCAUUUUUAGUGUGAUGGUUGGAAAGUUUUUUCGGUGUAGGAUGAGCUCGCGGCCUAUCAGCUUGUUGGUGGGGUAAUGGCCUACCAAGGCGGCGACGGGUAGCCGGCCUGAGAGGGUGGACGGCCACAUUGGGGCUGAGAGACGGCCCAGACUCCUACGGGAGGCAGAAGUGGGGAAUAUUGCACAAUGGGCGCAAGCCUGAUGCAGCGACGCCGCGUGGGGGAUGACGGCCUUCGGGUUGUAAACUCCUUUCGCUAGGGACGAAGCUUUUUGUGACGGUACCUAGAUAAGAAGCACCGGCUAACUACGUG
rnacentral:rRNA from 1 species